rnacentral:rRNA from 1 species
UGAAUACGAGAUGCUACGGCGUCGAAGCAGUCUAUGUCAUACUUCCAAGAAAAGCUUGCACUGUCAUAAACAAAUAAUGCCUGUACCAUAACCGACACAGGUGGGUAGGUAGAGUAUACUAAGGGGCGCGAGAUAACUCUCUCUAAGGAACUCGGCAAAAUGACUCCGUAACUUCGGGAGAAGGAGUGCCUUAUUUAUAAGGUUGCAAUAACAAGAUCCAAGCAACUGUUUACCAAAAACACAGGUCUCCGCUAAGUCGUAAGACGAUGUAUGGGGGCUGACGCCUGCCCAGUGCCAGAAGGUUAAAGAAGUUGGUUAGCAUCCGCGAAGCUGAUAACUGAAGCCCUGGUGAACGGCGGCCGUAACUAUAACGGUCCUAAGGUAGCGAAAUUCCUUGUCGGGUAAGUUCCGACCCGCACGAAAGGCGUAAUGAUUUGGAUACUGUCUCGGAGAGGGGCUCGGUGAAAUAGACUUGUCUGUGAAGAUGCGGACUACCUGCACCAGGACAGAAAGACCCUAUGAAGCUUUACUGUAACCUGAAAUUGAAAUUGGACUUUACUUGCGCAGUAUAGGUGGGAGGCGUUGAGAAUAUUCUUGCGGGAUUAUUGGAGCCAUCAGUGAGAUACCACUCUUGUAAUGUUAGAUUUCUAACUUUGUAUCAUUAUCUGGUCAAAGAACAGUUUCAGGCGGGCAGUUUGACUGGGGCGGUCGCCUCCUAAACGGUAACGGAGGCGCACAAAGGUUUCCUCUGAACGGGUAGAAAUCGUAUCUAGAGUGUAAAGGCAUAAGGAAGCUUGACUGUGAGACCUACAAGUCGAGCAGGGACGAAAGUCGGUCUUAGUGAUCUGACGGUGCUGAGUGGAAAGGCCGUCACUCAACGGAUAAAAGUUACUCUAAGGAUAACAGGCUGAUCUCCCCCAAGAGUUCACAUCGACGGGGAGGUUUGGCACCUCGAUGUCGGCUCAUCGCAUCCUGGGGCGGUAGUACGUCCCAAGGGUUGGGCUGUUCGCCCAUGAAAGCGGUACGCGAGCUGGGUUCAGAACGUCGUGAGACAGUUCGGUCCAUAUCCGGUGUAGGCGUUAGAAUAUUGAGAGGAGCCUUCUUUAGUACGAGAGGACCGAGAAGGACAUACCUCUGGUGUACCAGUUAUCGUGCCAACGGUAAACGCUGGGUAGCUAUGUGUGGAGAGGAUAACCGCUGAAAGCAUCUAAGUGGGAAGCCCACCUCAAGAUAAG